rnacentral:rRNA from 1 species
GACGGUUGUCCAGGUUCAAGUACGUAGGCGGGUGGUUUAGGUAAAUCCGGACCGCUACUAACGCUGAGAUACGAUGUCGAGCUACUACGGUAGUGAAGUCAUUGAUGCCAUGCUUCCAGGAAAAGCCUCUAAGCUUCAGAUUGUAAGGAAUCGUACCCCAAACCGACACAGGUGGUCGGGUAGAGAAUACCAAGGCGCUUGAGAGAACUCGGGUGAAGGAACUAGGCAAAAUGGUACCGUAACUUCGGGAGAAGGUACGCUCUUAUCAGUGAAGUCCCUUGCGGAUGGAGCAGACGAGAGUCGCAGAUACCAGGUGGCUGCAACUGUUUAUUAAAAACACAGCACUGUGCAAAAUCGUAAGAUGACGUAUACGGUGUGACGCCUGCCCGGUGCCGGAAGGUUAAUUGAUGGGGUUAGACUUCGGUCGAAGCUCUUGAUCGAAGCCCCGGUAAACGGCGGCCGUAACUAUAACGGUCCUAAGGUAGCGAAAUUCCUUGUCGGGUAAGUUCCGACCUGCACGAAUGGCGUAAUGAUGGCCACGCUGUCUCCACCCGAGACUCAGUGAAAUUGAAAUCGCUGUGAAGAUGCAGUGUACCCGCGGCUAGACGGAAAGACCCCGUGAACCUUUACUACAGCUUGGCACUGAACAUUGAACCUACAUGUGUAGGAUAGGUGGGAGACUUUGAAACCGCGUCGCUAGAUGUGGUGGAGUCGUCCUUGAAAUACCACCCUUGUAGUUUUGAUGUUCUAACGUUGGUCCCUGAAUCGGGAUUACGGACAGUGCCUGGUGGGUAGUUUGACUGGGGCGGUCUCCUCCCAAAGAGUAACGGAGGAGCACGAAGGUGGGCUAAACACGGUUGGACAUCGUGUGGUUAGUGCAAUGGCAUAAGCCCGCUUGACUGCGAGAAUGACAAUUCGAGCAGGUGCGAAAGCAGGUCAUAGUGAUCCGGUGGUUCUGAAUGGAAGGGCCAUCGCUCAACGGAUAAAAGGUACUCCGGGGAUAACAGGCUGAUACCGCCCAAGAGUUCAUAUCGACGGCGGUGUUUGGCACCUCGAUGUCGGCUCAUCACAUCCUGGGGCUGAAGUCGGUCCCAAGGGUAUGGCUGUUCGCCAUUUAAAGUGGUACGCGAGCUGGGUUUAGAACGUCGUGAGACAGUUCGGUCCCUAUCUGCCGUGGGCGUUGGAAAAUUGAAAGGGGCUGCUCCUAGUACGAGAGGACCGGAGUGGACGAACCUCUGGUGUUCGGGUUGUCAUGCCAAUGGCAUUGCCCGGUAGCUAAGUUCGGAAUCGAUAACCGCUGAAAGCAUCUAAGCGGGAAGCGAGCCUUGAGAUGAGUUUUCCCUGGCGCUUUAAGCGUCCUAAAGGGUUGUCGUAGACUACGACGUUGAUAGGCAGGGUGUGUAAGUGCUGCGAGGCAUUGAGCUAACCUGUACUAAUUGCCCGUGAGGCUUAACCAUACAACACCCAAGGGGUUU